rnacentral:rRNA from 1 species
GAUGAACGCUGGCGGCGUGCCUAAUACAUGCAAGUAGAACGCUGAAGGAGGAGCUUGCUCUUCUGGAUGAGUUGCGAACGGGUGAGUAACGCGUAGGUAACCUGCCUGGUAGCGGGGGAUAACUAUUGGAAACGAUAGCUAAUACCGCAUGACAACAGUUAUUGCAUGAUAACUGUUUAAAAGGGGCAACUGCUCCACUACCAGAUGGACCUGCGUUGUAUUAGCUAGUUGGUGAGGUAACGGCUCACCAAGGCGACGAUACAUAGCCGACCUGAGAGGGUGAUCGGCCACACUGGGACUGAGACACGGCCCAGACUCCUACGGGAGGCAGCAGUAGGGAAUCUUCGGCAAUAGACGGAAGUCUAACCGAGCAACGCCGCGUGAGUGAAGAAGGUUUUCGGAUCGUAAAGCUCUGUUGUAAGAGAAGAACGAGUGUGAGAGUGGAAAGUUCACACUGUGACGGUAUCUUACCAGAAAGGGACGGCUAACUACGUG